AUACGAAGGGGGCGAGCGUUAUUCGGAAUCACUGGGCGUAAAGCGUGCGUAGGCGGUCUUGUAAGUUAGGAGUGAAAGCCCAGGGCUUAACCUUGGAAUUGCUCUUAAAACUGCAAGGCUAGAAUCUCGGAGAGGAUAGCGGAAUUUCCAGUGUAGCAGUGAAAUGCGUAGAUAUUGGAAGGAACACCAGUGGCGUAAGCGGCUAUCUGGACGAGUAUUGACGCUGAGGCACGAAAGCGUGGGGAUC
rnacentral:rRNA from 1 species